UACGUAGGGGGCAAGCGUUGUCCGGAUUUAUUGGGCGUAAAGGGCGCGUAGGCGGUUUCUUAAGUUUGAAGUGACAGUGGGUGGCUUAACUACCCAAGGCCUUUGAAAACUGGGGAACUUGAGGACCAGAGAGGGACAUAGAAUUCCGGGUGGAGUGGUGAAAUGCGUAGAUAUCCGGAGGAAUACCAAAGGCGAAGGCAGUGUCCUGGAGGGUGACUGACGCUGAGGCGCGAAAGCUAGGGGAGCGAACAGGAUUAGAUACCCUGGUAGUCCUAGCCGUAAACGAUGACCACUAGAUGUGCGGGGUAUCGACCCCUCGCGUGUCGGAGCAAACGUUUGAAGUGGUCCGCCUGGGGAGUACGGUCGCAAGAUUAAA
rnacentral:rRNA from 1 species